rnacentral:rRNA from 1 species
UACGGGGGGGGCAAGCGUUGUUCGGAAUUACUGGGCGUAAAGGGCUCGUAGGCGGCCAACUAAGUCGGAUGUGAAAUCCCCAGGCUUAACCUGGGAACUGCAUCCGAUACUGGAUGGCUUGAAUCCGGGAGAGGGAUGCAGAAUUCCAGGUGUAGCGGUGAAAUGCGUAGAUAUCUGGAGGAAUACCGGUGGCGAAGGCGGCAUCCUGGACCGGCAUUGACGCUGAUGAGCGAAAGCAUGGGGAGCGAACAGG